AGAGUUUGAUUCUGGCUCAGGAUGAACGCUGGCGGCGUGCUUAACACAUGCAAGUCGAACGGAGCUUAUUUGGAAAGCUUGCUUUUCGUUUAAGCUUAGUGGCGGACGGGUGAGUAACGCGUGAGCAACCUGCCCUAGAGUGGGGAAUAACACCGAGAAAUCGGUGCUAAUACCGCAUAAUGUCGGAGGACCGCAUGAUCCACCGACCAAAGGAUUUAUUCGCUUUAGGAUGGGCUCGCGUCCGAUUAGGCAGUUGGCGGGGUAACGGCCCACCAAACCAACGAUCGGUAGCCGAACUGAGAGGUUGAUCGGCCACAUUGGGACUGAGACACGGCCCAGACUCCUACGGGAGGCAGCAGUGGGGAAUAUUGGGCAAUGGGCGAAAGCCCUGACCCAGCAACGCCGCGUGAAGGAUGAAGGUCUUCGGAUUGUAAACUUCUUUGAUUGGGGAAGAGUAAAUGACCUACCCAAAGAACAAGUCACGGCUAACUACGUGCCAGCCGCCGC
rnacentral:rRNA from 1 species